UAAAUCAUCUACUCCAUUUUUCACCCUGUUGGAACACAUUCAAUCAUGGACAUAUGAUCAAAAAGAAAACCCAAUUAUUGUACACUGUCGAAAUGGAGUGAACAAGGGAGGACUAUUCUGUGUUCUGGCAGCCAUUUUAGAACGACUAACCAUAGAACAAGACGUCAGUGUGUUACAGACUAUAAUACAGCUCCGAGUAUCCAGACCACAAAUUAUUACUUGUUAUGAACAAGUGAAAUUUUGUUUCGAUGCUGUUGGUAAUUAUCUGGACCAUUUCUCAACAUAUGCCAAUUCUUGUUGAUUGUAAUUAUAAUAUCCUAUUGUAAUAGUGUGAUAAUUGCAAAAUGUUUUUAAUUGCUUUCGUAAGCUGGUUUUGGAUUUUCUUUUUAAUUGUAUGUUAAGUUUGCUACAAGGUUUGCUUUAUUAUUUAAAGUUUAUACUACUUAAUGUAUACAUGGGCUUAGGU